ensembl:lincRNA
AUGAGGUCGGCUUCCCCAAGUAUGGAGCUUAUGUUCCCACUGAGCUCUUGGGCUCUGAGUUCUUCAUGGGGCGACUGCUGGAACUCCGGCCUGAGCCCCGCAUCUGCUACCUGCAAGGUGAGUGUAGGCCCAGAGACUGGGACAGGAAGUGCCCUGGUCAGGUUCUGAUGUGGGGGCUCUGUCUGUCUGUUCAGGUAUGUGGGGCAGCGCCUUCGCAGCCAGCCUGGAUGAGAUCUUCCUGAAGAUUGUUGGCUCAGGCCUGGGCUUCUUGGACUGGCACAGAGGUAGCAUGAACAUCACAGACAAGUGCCCACAGUCCCAGCCCCACGACCCCUCCUGGCUGCACACCAGGCUCUUCAUCCCUCAGGGGCCCAUCUCACAGGCCGUGCUGGACAUAUUCACCUCCCGCCUUGCUGCCACCCAGAACUUUAACUUCAUGCGGGGUCUCUGCCUGCACAAGGACUAUGCAGCCCGCAGGGACUUUGUGGCCUGGAAAGGUGGGGACUGCCCCGGCUGUAGGUGUCCUCCUCCUACCUCUGGUGACCGGGCCAGCACUGCUGUGGGCAUGCCUGUGGGGAUGCUGCCUGGGUGGUGACGGGGAGAUUCUGUCCCUGUGCUGCGGGUGGGGGGCUGCAGAUAGAAUGUGGGGAGAGGGGACGCUGGGAGGCCGCCACAUGGUCCUUGUGCCUUGCAGACACACACCCAGACGCCCUCCCCAACCAGCUCACACCCAUGUGGGACUGCCUGUGCCUGGUGGACGGAGGCUUUGCCAUCAACUCUCCCUUCCCACUGACCCUGCUGCCCCAGCGGGCGGUGGACCUCAUUCUGUCCUUCGACUACUCCCUGGAAGCCCCUUUUGAGGUCUUGCAGAUGACAGAGCAGUACUGCCUGGACCGAGGAAUCCCCUUCCCCAAGAUCAAGGUGGGCCCUGAGGACAUGGCCAAGCCCCGUGAGUGCUAUCUGUUUGCCGAGGCCAAGGACCCCCAGGCCCCCAUCGUGCUGCACUUCCCACUUGUCAACCGCACCUUCCGCACACACCUGGCCCCAGGUGAGAGAAGCCAGGCUGGGAGUGCUGGGGUGCUCUCCGGGCAUGGACCCCUGCACAGUAUGUCAGCGCGUGCCUUCUGGGGGGCCAGAGCCGAAUGCCACUUACUGUCCCCUACUUCCUGACCCUGAUUGUACAUGUGGGUCAUCUCCUCCAGAUGGGCCUGAGGGCUGAGAUGUGGGAGGGGCCUAGGGCUGCAGCCCCUGGGAAGUUCCAGAGCACCCCAACCUGCCCCCCACCAGGUGUGGAGCGGCGAACAGCUACAGAGAAGGACUUCGGGGACUUUGUCAUCAACGGGCCAGACACACCUUAUGGCAUGACGAACUUCACCUACACGCCCAAAGAGUUUGACCGGCUGGUGGCCCUGAACCACUACACCAUUCUGAACAAUGCAGAGACCAUCAGGCACGCACUCCAGUUGGCUCUGCAGCGGCGGCAGACUGUCAAGGGCUGAGGCCUGAGCAGUUGGGAGCUGGGACUACAGGACAGAGGGGAGAUGCAAGGCUCAAAGCCAAUGCCUGCUGAGCAGGAAGUGGUGGGAUCUUCUGCUGCCCACUCUCCAGCACCUGCCCUGAAGUCUUCCAGGCCCAGAAAGUCUUAUAGACCUAGACCUGCAGCUUUGCUUUGGGUCAGGGCCGCCUUUGUGUUUCUUGGAGAAGAUGGAAUAGUGCAUCCCUCUGGGGCUCUAGGGAUGCAGGGCCAAAGAGGGCAGUGUCACCAUGAGGCCCACACAGACCCUAAGGCACUUGAUGCAGGUGCUGAGGUGCUGAGGUACAAGGUGCCUUCUCUUGGUGAGCACUGAAAUGCAGCUGUCAUGCUCUCUGUAGUGGCCUCAGAACUCUGCCCCCUGAGCUGGAUUUACUGCGUCAAGAAUAAAGAGAGCCAUGUGGCUUGCCAGCCUGUGUCAGUGAUUCCAUGUCCAGCUCCUGACUCUCCUUCACCUUCUGGUCCCCU